rnacentral:rRNA from 1 species
UGGGGGAUAUUGCACAAUGGGCGCAAGCCUGAUGCAGCGACGCCGCGUGGGGGAUGAAGGCCUUCGGGUUGUAAACUUCUUUUGCUCUGAACAAGGCGCACUUUGGGGUGUGUUGAGUGUAGGGGUUGAUUAGCGCCGGCUAACUACGUGCCAGCAGCCGCGGUAAUACGUAGGGCGCGAGCGUUGUCCGGAAUUAUUGGGCGUAAAGGGCUUGUAGGUGGCUGGUUGCGUCUGUCGUGAAAGCUCAUGGCUUAACUGUGGGUUUGCGGUGGGUACGGGCUGGCUUGAGUGCAGUAGGGGAGGCUGGAAUUCCUGGUGUAGCGGUGGAAUGCGCAGAUAUCAGGAGGAAUACCGGUUGCGAAGGCGGGUCUCUGGGCUGUUACUGACACUGAGGAGCGAAAGCAUGGGGAGCGAACAGG